UACGUAGGGGGCAAGCGUUGUCCGGAUUUAUUGGGCGUAAAGAGCUCGUAGGCGGUUCGGUAAGUCGGGUGUGAAAACUUUGGGCUCAACCCAAAGCCUGCACUCGAUACUGCUGUGACUCGAGUCCGGUAGGGGAGUGUGGAAUUCCCGGUGUAGCGGUGAAAUGCGCAGAGAUCGGGAGGAACACCCGUAGCGAAGGCGGCACUCUGGGCCGGUACUGACGCUGAGGAGCGAAAGCGUGGGGAGCGAACAGG
rnacentral:rRNA from 1 species